GGGCGCGUAGCUCAGCGGGAGAGCACUACGUUGACAUCGUAGGGGUCGCUGGUUCGAUCCCAGCCGCGCCCA
rfam:Pleomorphobacterium xiamenense strain CGMCC 1.10808 genome assembly, contig: Ga0079883_113